rnacentral:piRNA from 1 species
UUCCAACAGUUUAAUCGUAAC